CUUAUUAUGGCAUGAUUAAAUUCUUUAAUUAUUAAUUUUUGAUAUCAUGUCUAUAUAUGUAUUGACUGACUUAUACUCUUAGAAAUUGUUUCAUGGUUUGCCCAAACUAAAUUAUUUCUUUGCCUAUAUCAUAACCAUGAAAUACACAAGUAUGUGCUUAAAAUUUUGAUGUAAAAUAACUUGUGAGAAGUUAUGAAUACUUGAGCAUAAUGAAAAUGUUGUUUGCAUGAUAUACAUCUAUAUGACACAUAAGAUUAUUUCUUUAUUCUGCUCUUUCAUGUAAAUUACUUGAGAAUAACAAAAAGAGAGAGAGAUAAAGAAAAGAAAAUAGAUAUUAUUCAAGAGAAGUAAAAUCUAAGUAAAGGCAAAUACUUCAAUCUUAAGGAAAAGCAAAACAAGCAUAAUAUAUUUGGGACAUUUGUGAGCAUUCUUUUGGAAGGAAUAAAAUUCAUAAUUAAUUACACUUAAACAGGGAGAGUUUGAA
rnacentral:lncRNA from 1 species